GGAUGAGAGGGUGAUCUGGCUAUGACAUUUGUCACCCAUUGAUCACCAAGGUUGAUUUGGCUGGUCUGGCUGGCUGGGCAGGUGUCCCCUUCCCCCCUCAGCUCUCCACACGUGUCCCUCCCGAAGCUGCACACUUAGUAGAAGCGGACGACCUUCCCUAAUAGAGGAGGACGGUCAAAGGCAUACAAGUGGCUGUGUUCACCUCCUAGGACCUCCCAACAAGCUCUCAAAGUCCAUUUGUGGGAGAGUGUAGGGCAGUCAAGCUUCCAAGACUCAACACGUUCAAGUGAGGCGCUGCAUGCGGCGGUCUGCCUUUCUGU
rnacentral:snRNA from 1 species